rnacentral:rRNA from 1 species
CCUACGGGAGGCAGCAGUGAGGAAUAUUGGUCAAUGGACGAGAGUCUGAACCAGCCAAGUAGCGUGAAGGAUGACUGCCCUAUGGGUUGUAAACUUCUUUUAUAUGGGAAUAAAAUGUUCCACGUGUGGGAUUUUGUAUGUACCAUAUGAAUAAGGAUCGGCUAACUCCAUGCCAGCAGCCGCGGUAAUACGGAGGAUCCGAGCGUUAUCCGGAUUUAUUGGGUUUAAAGGGAGCGUAGGUGGAUUGUUAAGUCAGUUGUGAAAGUUUGCGGCUCAACCGUAAAAUUGCAGUUGAAACUGGCAGUCUAGAGUACAGUAGAGGUGGGCGGAAUUCGUGGUGUAGCGGUGAAAUGCUUAGAUAUCACGAAGAACUCCGAUUGCGAAGGCAGCUCACUGGACUGCAACUGACACUGAGGCUCGAAAGUGUGGGUAUCAAACAGGAUUAGAUACCCCAGUAGUC